AAAAUGUAGCUUAACAAAAGCGUCUGGUUUACACCCAGAAGAUUUCAGAAUCACUGACCGUUUUGA
rnacentral:tRNA from 1 species